UGGGGAGCUGGAUGCAGGACUUAGUCCCAGGACCCUGCAUCAAGCCCUGAGCCAAAGGCAGGCACUCAACCACUGAGCCACCCAGGUGUCCCUCACUCCUAUAUUUCUGCCUGGAAAAUGCAAAUUCAUCAAGUGUCUCCUCCUCACCAGAGCUCCAUUUCGGCCAUUUCUACCUUGCAGCAUGAUUGUUAAUGCUUAUUAGUGCCUGGUCUGUUGUUAAGAAGAUUUCAGCUAAAAAAAAAAAAAGAAGAAGAAGAAGAAGAAGAAGAAGAA